CAUGCAAGUCGAGCGGUAGCACAGAGAGCUUGCUCUCGGGUGACGAGCGUCGGACGGGUGAGUAAUGUCUGGGAAACUGCCUGAUGGAGGGGGAUAACUACUGGAAACGGUAGCUAAUACCGCAUAACGUCGCAAGACCAAAGUGGGGGACCUUCGGGCCUCAUGCCAUCAGAUGUGCCCAGAUGGGAUUAGCUAGUAGGUGGGGUAACGGCUCACCUAGGCGACGAUCCCUAGCUGGUCUGAGAGGAUGACCAGCCACACUGUAACUGAGACACGGUCCAGACUCAUACGGGAGGCAGCAGUGGGGAAUAUUGCACAAUGGGCGCAAGCCUGAUGCAGCCAUGCCGCGUGUGUGAAGAAGGCCUUCGGGUUGUAAAGCACUUUCAGCGGCGAGGAAGGCGUUGAGGUUAAUAACCUCAUCGAUUGACGUUACCCGCAGAAGAAGCACCGGCUAACUCCGUGCCAGCAGCCGCGGUAAUACGGAGGGUGCAAGCGUUAAUCGGAAUUACUGGGCGUAAAGCGCACGCAGGCGGUCUGUCAAGUCGGAUGUGAAAUCCCCGGGCUCAACCUGGGAACUGCAUUCGAAACUGGCAGGCUAGAGUCUUGUAGAGGGGGGUAGAAUUCCAGGUGUAGCGGUGAAAUGCGUAGAGAUCUGGAGGAAUACCGGUGGCGAAGGCGGCCCCCUGGACAAAGACUGACGCUCAGGUGCGAAA
rnacentral:rRNA from 1 species